UGGGGAAUAUUGCACAAUGGGGGAAACCCUGAUGCAGCGACGCCGCGUGAGCGAAGAAGUAUUUCGGUAUGUAAAGCUCUAUCAGCAGGGAAGAUAAUGACGGUACCUGACUAAGAAGCUCCGGCUAAAUACGUGCCAGCAGCCGCGGUAAUACGUAUGGAGCAAGCGUUAUCCGGAUUUACUGGGUGUAAAGGGAGCGUAGACGGUUUGUCAAGUCUGAUGUGAAAUUCCAGGGCUUAACCCUGGACCUGCAUUGGAAACUGUCGAACUAGAGUGUCGGAGAGGUGAGUGGAAUUCCUAGUGUAGCGGUGAAAUGCGUAGAUAUUAGGAGGAACACCAGUGGCGAAGGCGGCUCACUGGACGAUAACUGACGUUGAGGCUCGAAAGCGUGGGGAGCAAACA
rnacentral:rRNA from 1 species